CCUACGGGUGGCAGCAGUGGGGAAUAUUGGUCAAUGGACGAGAGUCUGAACCAGCCAAGUAGCGUGAAGGAUGACUGCCCUAUGGGUUGUAAACUUCUUUUAUAUGGGAAUAAAAUGUUCCACGUGUGGGCUUUUGUAUGUACCCUAUGAAUAAGGAUCGGCUAACUCCGUGCCAGCAGCCGCAGUAAUACGGAGGAUCCGAGCGUUAUCCGGAUUUAUUUGGUUUAAAGGGAGCGUAGGUGGAGUGGUAAGUCAGGUGGGAAAGUUUGCGGCUAAACCGUAAAAUUGCAGUUGAAACUGGCAGUCUUGAGUACAGGAGAGGUGGGCGGAAUUCGUGGUGUAGCGGUGAAAUGCUUAGAUAUCACGAAGAACUCCGAUUGCGAAGGCAGCUCACUGGACUGCAACUGACACUGAGGCUCGAAAGUGUGGGUAUCAAACAGGAUUAGAUACCCCAGUAGUC
rnacentral:rRNA from 1 species